AUAGCAUAUCAAUAAGCGGAGGAAAAGAAACCAACAGGGAUUGCUCUAGUAACGGCGAGUGAAGCAGCAAUAGCUCAAAUUUGAAAUCUGGCGUCUUCGGCGUCCGAGUUGUAAUUUGUAGAGGAUGCUUCUGGGCAGCCACCGACCUAAGUUCCUUGGAACAGGACGUCAUAGAGGGUGAGAAUCCCGUAUGCGGUCGGAAAGGCACCCUACACGUAGCUCCUUCGACGAGUCGAGUUGUUUGGGAAUGCAGCUCUAAAUGGGAGGUAAAUUUCUUCUAAAGCUAAAUAUUGGCCAGAGACCGAUAGCGCACAAGUAGAGUGAUCGAAAGAUGAAAAGCACUUUGGAAAGAGAGUUAAAAAGCACGUGAAAUUGUUGAAAGGGAAGGGAUUGCAACCAGACUUGCUCGCGGUGUUCCGCCGGUCUUCUGACCGGUCUACUCGCCGCGUUGCAGGCCAGCAUCGUCUGGUGCCGCUGGAUAAGACUUGAGGAAUGUAGCUCCCUCGGGAGUGUUAUAGCCUCUUGUGAUGCAGCGAGCGCCGGGCGAGGUCCGCGCUUCGGCUAGGAUGCUGGCGUAAUGGUUGUAAUCCGCCCGUCUUGAAACACGGACCAAGGAGUCUAACAUCUAUGCGAGUGUUCGGGUGUCAAACCCCUACGCGUAAUGAAAGUGAACGGAGGUGAGAACCGCAAGGUGCAUCAUCGACCGAUCCUGAUGUCUUCGGAUGGAUUUGAGUAUGAGCAUAGCUGUUGGGACCCGAAAGAUGGUGAACUAUGCCUGAAUAGGGUGAAGCCAGAGGAAACUCUGGUGGAGGCUCGCAGCGGUUCUGACGUGCAAAUCGAUCGUCAAAUUUGGGUAUAGGGGCGAAAGACUAAUCGAACCAUCUAGUAGCUGGUUCCUGCCGAA
rnacentral:rRNA from 1 species